UACGUAGGGUCCGAGCGUUGUCCGGAAUUAUUGGGCGUAAAGGGCUCGUAGGCGGUUCGUCACGUCGGGAGUGAAAACUCGGGGCUUAACCCCGAGCCUGCUUCCGAUACGGGCAGACUAGAGGUAGGCAGGGGAGAGCGGAACUCCUGGUGUAGCGGUGGAAUGCGCAGAUAUCAGGAAGAACACCGGUGGCGAAGGCGGCUCUCUGGGCCUUACCUGACGCUCAUGCACGAAAGCGUGGGGAGCAAACAGG
rnacentral:rRNA from 1 species